rnacentral:lncRNA from 1 species
UGAUUUUUUUUUUUUUUUUUGAGGCGAUUCGUUUUGAAAAUCAGCGGCCAUGUUUAAUUUAUCAAAUUUGAUAUUAACACUGUUUUUCUGUAAUGGCCCUGUAUUAAUGCCCAGUUUGUCUGUAUUAAGCCCAGUUAGGGUUUUUAAUAAACAGCCAUUUUUGGCAAUAAUUAAUGUACUUAGUUGGUUGAUAAAAGUAAAAUACACCUUAUAGUAAAAGUUCAUUUGAAAUUCUUUGUUUUUCAUCAGAAAUGCUUUCAUUUGACUACAAAAUGGACUUAAUCCACACCAGUAAGUAAUAAGUAAUGAGUUAUCAAGGCC